AUGUACGGAGGAAGAGGGAAAGGGCUCUGGUCCCCUCGGCGUCAUGUCUUCGGUGCCGGUGGCUUCCCAUCCGCUGGUUCUAUCCUCAAGCGCCGAGACACCGGCAUCUCGGAGCAGGGCAACCGAGAUCUAGCUGUUUCCUUCACGGGGGUGCUCACACUGUCUCAUUUGAUUUCAGGUCCCAUUUGUCAGGAUCUCCUGUCUUCUGUUGACCAGCCACUGAAAAUUGCCAGAGACAAGGUUGUGGGAAAGGAUUACCUUUUGUGUGACUACCACAGAGAUGGGGACUCCUAUAGGUCACCGUGGAGCAACAAGUAUGACCCUCCCUUGGAGCAUGGGGCCAUGCCUUCAGCUCGGCUGCCAAAGCUGGAGGUGGAAGCCAACAAUGCCUUUGACCAGUACCGAGACCUGUAUUUUGAAGGCGGCCUCUCAUCUGUCUACCUCUGGGAUCUGGAUCAUGGCUUUGCUGGAGUGAUCCUCAUAAAGAAGGCUGGAGAUGGAUCAAAGAAGAUCAAAGGCUGCUGGGAUUCCAUCCGCGUGGUGGAAGUUCAGGAGAAAUCCAGCGGCCGCACCGCCCGUUACAAGUUGACCUCCACGGUGAUGCUGUGGCUGCAGACCAACAAAUCCGGCUCUGGCACCAUGAACCUCGGAGGCAGCCUCACCAGACAGACGGAGAAACAUGAAACUGUGAGCGACUGCUCCCCACACAUAGCCAAUAUCGGGCGCCUGGUAGAGGACAUGGAAAAUAAAAUCAGAAGUACAUUGAACGAGAACUACUUUGGAAAAACAAAGGAUAUUGUCAACGGGCUGAGGUCUGUGCAGGCUUUUGCAGACAAAUCAAAACAAGAAACUCUGAAGAAUGACCUGGUGGAGGCUUUGAAGAGAAAGCAGCAAUGCUAAACCUCUGCUUUACGCUAACCAGACGCCGUGCACUCGUUAGAGUCCUUUCUUAGAAAACUUGUUUUCUGCUCCCUCCCCUCGUCCCUUCCCUCCCCACAGGUCACACAACAGCUGCAUCACUGACCGCACAGUGCCAUCUCUCCCUGAGAAUAAAGCCCCAUAGCCACCCUCCUCCAGCUCCGAGCCUGCUUCCGCCACACCUCGCUCUCAGCUCUCUCCACAUUUCCAUAGCGACCGUCUGGUUUUUGUUCACUCGGGGGCCCUGUCUUCCUUCCCGUCCCCAAAUUUAUAGGCAUAAAAUCCACUGUCUGCCAGCCUCCCUUCCCUCCCACCUUUUUGUUACAUUGGUGUAAAAAAUG